rnacentral:rRNA from 1 species
GGAGGGCGCUAGCGUUGUUCGGAAUUAUUGGGCGUAAAGCGCGUGUAGGCGGCUUGGCAAGUCGGGUGUGAAAGCCCGGGGCUCAACCCCGGAACUGCACUCGAAACUGCCUCGCUUGAGUCCCGGAGAGGAGGGCGGAAUUCCCGGUGUAGAGGUGAAAUUCGUAGAUAUCGGGAGGAACACCAGUGGCGAAGGCGGCCCUCUGGACGGUGACUGACGCUGAGACGCGAAAGCGUGGGGAGCAAACAGGAUUAGAUACCCUGGUAGUCCACGCCGUAAACGUUGGGUGCUAGGUGUCGCGGGUAUUGACCCCCCUGCGGUGCCGUCGUUAACGCAUUUAGCACCCCGCCUGGGAGUACGGUCGCAAGGCUA